rnacentral:rRNA from 1 species
AUUGAACGCUGGCGGCAGGCCUAACACAUGCAAGUCGAACGAGUGGCGGACGGGUGAGUAAUGUCUGGGAAACUGCCUGAUGGAGGGGGAUAACUACUGGAAACGGUAGCUAAUACCGCAUACCAGCGGAUGUGCCCAGAUUGGAUUAGCUAGAAGGGGGGGUAAAGGCUCAACUAGGCGACGAUCCCUAGCUGGGCUGCGAGGAUGACCAGCCACACUGGAACUGAGACACGGUCCAGACUCCUACGGGAGGCAGCAGUGGGGACUAUUGCACAAUGGGCGCAAGCCUGAUGCAGCCAUGCCGCGGGGAUGAAGAAGGCCUUCGGGUUGUAAAGUACUUUCAGCGGGGAGGCGUUACCCGCAGAAGAAGCCCCGGCUAACUCCGUGCCAGCCGCCGCGGUAAUAC